rnacentral:rRNA from 1 species
CCUACGGGUGGCUGCAGUGGGGAAUAUUGCGCAAUGGGCGAAAGCCUGACGCAGCGACGCCGCGUGAGGGAUGAAGGUCUUCGGAUUGUAAACCUCUGUCAUGUGGGAGCAAAUAAAUAAGAUAGUACCAGAAGAGGAAGUGACGGCUAACUCUGUGCCAGCAGCCGCGGUAAUACAGAGGUCUCAAGCGUUGUGCGGAAUCACUGGGCGUAAGGCGUGCGGAGGCGGUUUCGUAAGUUGUUAGUGAAAGGCGCGGGCUCAACCCGCGGACGGCACAUGAUACUGCGAGACUAGAGUAAUGGAGGGGGAACCGGAAUUCUCGGUGUAGCAGUGAAAUGCGUAGAUAUCGGGAGGAACACUCGUGGCGAAGGCGGGUUCCUGGACAUUAACUGACGCUGAGGCACGAAGGCCAGGGGAGCGAACGGGAUUAGAUACCCCUGUAGUC